UCAAGAUAGUUGGACAUCACUAGCCUUUGUCCUUUCAUAUCCACCGCCCUGCUUUUAUGAUAGCAUUUCCCAAUGAAAUCUUUUAUCUACCAAUAUCCUCUUAAAAUCUUCUUGAAUUUUCUUCGUCUGACUCUCUUGAUCUCAGUCUCUCCCUCUUCUGAUGAGUAUACCUUAGAUGCAGUCCCAACAGUCGUCCUUCUUCUUCUCACAACAUUUCUUUAUCAAAAAAUGGGCAUUCUUGAAUCUCCUGUGUCUGGUUCUCUUGACCUCCGUGGCUCCCUCUCCUGAUGAAUAUGCAUUGGAUGCAGCCCCAACAGGUAAUGCCCUUCUCAUCUUCUCAGUGCUUCUUUAGCAACAAAAUGGGUAGUCUCAUUUUCUGUUUCAGGAAUGAAAUGAAACCCGAUAUUCUGAAAAAAAAAAACUUUUUUGCUAUGGGAUAUCUCUGAUUAUCGCCCUUAUAAUCGAUUUAUCUUGGUUUAUGGUUUGACAUUUCUUAAUCACUAUUCUUGAGUCUCUUUUUAUAUUCAGAAUAUUCAAUCCCAUUGUAAUACUUGACUUAAAGGCCACAAUCUCCCCCUCCGUAUUGCAAACAACUAAACCCAAAGCAGAUUUGGAGGUUCUCUUAUCAAAAGCCGCAUCAAAAUAAACUAUCACCCUCGUGCUUCUUUCCAUCUGCUUAUGACCUCUGUCAAUGUUGGUAAAAAGUCUUUUUUCCUCUACUCCAUUUAACUCUGCUGUAGAACUGAUGACUUGUUUAGAAAUAUCCCUACCUGUUGUAAUCUUCUCUUAUAGAUGAAUCUAUUUCUAUGGUUCCAGAUUAACCAUAGCCCACCGCAAAAAAGGCGACACUGGUCUCUGUUUCCCUGCCUAAAAACCCAAAUAAGCCACUCCCAUAAGCUUUGAAUGUUAUUAUUGUAUACCCAUGCAAAAUCUAAAUUUGAGCAUACUUCUGUUGUUGUAGGACAGUACCUAAAAAUGUGGUUACUAUCUUCAUCGGAAGUGUGACAUCGGGGACAAAGAGUUUCAGCUGCAGCUUUUUUAAUCUUUAGUUUAGAUAGAGUAGGAAUAUAAUUCCAAGAAAUUCUCCAAAUUUUAAUUUUAAUUUUUGGAGGGAUUUGUAAAUUCCAUAAUUUUCUAUAGAAGUUUCUAAUCUCGGUCUAUAUAAAACUAUUAUUAGGACCCGAAUUAGUCUUAUAGGCACUUCUGACUGAAUACUCGCCUGACGGUUCUCCUCUCCAUACUUUGGAAGUCCUCGUAGAUUAUCUCUGCCAAGGGGAUCUGCAGAAUUUUCUUAGCAGUAUCCUCAUUGAAGGUACUUAAAACUAAAUCUGUAUUCCACUUUCUAUUAUUAGCAUCUAUCAAAUCUAAUUCUAACUUAAUAUUCUCAUUGGUGGUUUCAUUAUGCAAUCUAUCAUUUUCAGCUUCCGAAAUCCAUAAAUCAUCCCAAACAGAGAUGCGAUCCCCUGUUCCUAUCCUCCAGCAUAAUCCUUUCUCCAAAAUCUCUUUAGCUACCCAAACACUCUUCCAAGUAAGCGAAGGUAAAUUCCCCAAUUCAGCAUUGAUAAAAUUCGAAUUUGGAUAAUAUUUUGCUUUUAAAACACUACUUAGUAAAGAAUUAGGAAAAUUGACAAGACACCAACCUUGUUUUGUUAAUAACGCUAUAUUAAAUUUAUCGAGAUUACGAAAGCCUAAACCACCAUCUUCUUUCAAAGAGCAUAAAUAUUUCCACGUGCACCAGUGAAUACCUUUUUUUAUCUCGAUUUUUAUGCCACUAAUACCUUGCCAAAAUACCUUCUAGUUCAGCACAUAAAGACUUAGGGAUUAGGAAACAUGCCAUCGUAUAGGUUGGAAUAGCUUGAAUAAUAGCUUUUAUAAACACCUCUUUCCCCCCUUGAGAUAGAUGUUUUACACUCCAGUUAUCAAUCUGUUGUUUCAUUCUAUCCUUCAAGAUUUGAAAUGAGAUUUUCUUCUUUCUUCCUACUAUAUUUGGCAGACCAAGAUGCCUUUCCAGGUUAUUAGAACUACGCACUUCAAGAACCUUAGAUAUAAUUGUUUUAUCCCCUUCCUGUGUAUUAGUACUAAAGAAUACUGUAGAUUUGUAAUAGUUGACACAUUGUCCAAAACAAUUCUCGUAUUCAAUCAAAAUCUGUUUAAAUGAAUGAGCUCCUCUCUGUAGCUUCCCCAAAUAAAAUACAACCAUCUGCAAAUAACAAGUGGGAAAUCUGUGGCCGACUUCUACUUGCCUUAACCCCUCUAAGUAUGUUCCCUUGCAUAGCAAGUCUCAUAAAACUGGAAAGACCUUCCUCACAAAUUAAAAAUAGGAACGGACUCAAAGGGUCGGACUCAAAGGGUCACCCUGUCUUAGUCCUUUUGUGGGUUGAAAAUUCUCUUCAAUAUGACCAUUGAAAACCACCGAAUACGAAACUAUGGAAACACAUUUCAUUAGAGACUCAACUUACCCUGAAUCAAAACCCAUGCGCUUUAUAAUUUCUGUGAUAAAAUUUCAUUCAACUCUAUCAUAAGCUUUACUCAUAUCCAACUUUACUGCCAUGUAGUCUUUUUUCCCUCUUCUUCUUCUGUUUUAAAGUAUGUAGGAUUUCAUAAGCCAAUAACACAUUAUCAGAAAUUAACCUCCCCGGUACGAAAGCGCUUUGAGCUAGGUCAAUACAUUUAUCAACGACUACACGAAGAUAAUUUGCAAUGACCUUAGACAUCAACUUAUAAAUCACAUUACAUAGGCUUAUGAACCGAAAAUAAGUAAUAUUUGAAGGAUUUUGAAUUUUUGGGAUCAACACUAUAUUUGUUUUAUUAAUUAAACUAAUGUCUAUACCUCCAUUUAGAUGUUGUAUAGAAAAUGAAGACACAUCCUCCCCAACAAUUAACUAGCACUUCUGAUAAAAUAAAGCCGAGAACCCAUCUUCUCCUGGUGCUUUUAUUGGGCCCAAUUCUGAUAAAGCCACUCGAAUUUCCUCAUUUGUGUAUCUCACUGUCAAUCUAGAAUUAUCCUCCUCAAAAAUACAACAAUCAAUUCCUGUCAACAGAUGUUCAUAAUUUCCCCUCAUCCCAGCUAAAAACAAAUUCUGGAAAUAAGAUUUAGCAGUUCCUUCCAUUUUACGAAUCUCUUAUGUUUCUCUACCAUCUUCAAAUUGCAUUUUCCGAAUGAGGUUCCUUCUUAGUCGUUGAGUCGCAUGUUUAUGAAAAAAAGGCAGUAUUCUUGUCUCCAAAUUGCAACAAAGUAACUCGAGCCCUCUACUCCUAAUAUCUUUCAUCCUUGUCAAUCUCAAAAUUAAGUUGGAUCUUCAAAUCAAUAAGUUCUGCCAAGUUUUCAUCACCCAUGUCAGGUUCCAUCAAUUCGACCAAUCUAUCAGUUAACCUCUCCUUUUUUAUCUUUCUACUGUGUUGAAUUUGAUUCGCCCAUCUAUCCAAACCUUUUCUUAUUUUUUCCAAUUUUUCUAUCAAGUCUCCAGUUGAAUUGUCCCAUAUAUAUCGUACCUCCUCAAUAAAUGAUUUCUCUAAUAGCCACCAAGCUUCGAAUUUGAAACUUCUUUUAGGCCGCUCAUUAUCUUUUCUUUUUGUCGUGAUAAGAAGUGGGUAAUGAUCUGAAAAAGAAUGUGGAAGAUGUUGAAUUAUUACCUCAGGAAAUAUAGACAACCAAUCUGAGUUAAACAUUUGUAAAAUUUUCAAAUAAUAACCCAUUAAAAAUUACCCCAAACAACAACAAUAAUUUUAUUUGAGCCUUUUGCAUCUUAAGUGUAAGAGAAAUUUAGUUUUUUUUUUCAUUAAGCAUUUUGUAUUUUUUUUAUAAACUUAAAAUAAUAUUUCAAAUAAUAGUCAAGUAAUAUAGUAAACGACGAGUAUUGAUUUUUUAAUAUUUUAAUGUUGUUGAGGGGAGAUUAGACUCUUUAUUGGAAGAAGUUUUCAUAGUGUUGUCUAUUUAUGACCAAUGAAUCUCUUAAUGAAAGUUAUUAUUCUUGUGUCGAAAUUUUAUUCCUGACCUCUACAAAGAGGAGGGAGUUUUAAUUGGUGGGGUAAAUAUGGGAAAAGUGUUAAUGUUAUAUACAAUAUUAAUUAUAAAAAAUACAGAUGUAGGGAUUAGAACCACCAAUCAAGACAUAUACUAUAGUUGCAAGGGAAAUGCUACAUAUACCUUUUACCACACUUCAAUUCAACCUUGUCAACUUCCCUUGCAUUACUUAUUCUAAGAGGGAUAACGGCAAGAUUUACCCUAAUACUUUAACAAAAUUGUCAAUGUGGUAUAUGUAUUUUCAAUUUGUCCAAUUUGCUAACUUUACUUUUGUUCCAUCCAGUUUUCUGAUAUCUGGCCUAAUGAUUUUAAAUUCUAGUUAACACAUGGACAACUAAAAAAAUGCCAUAUGGCACUUGGACCAGAUGAAAAAACUAAAUGGUAAGAAAAUAAGGACUUGUAUAAAUUUUUUCCUUUUUCUUUUUAGAGGUAAAAUUUAUUAAAUAAAAUAAUUAUUAUUUUCUCCCAAUUUAUAACAUCUUCGUCUCUACAACGUAGUAAAAAUUCCAAAAAACAAAAACAAGAGAAACUAAAAUAAAAUUUAUUAACUAAAAUUAAUUGAUAUUCUUC
rnacentral:lncRNA from 1 species